UACGGGAUGGACCGCUACUCCGCAGCCAGCGGGUGCCUAAGGAGUUGGCCCAGUCCGCCCCAUCUUCGGUUCUGACCACAGGUGUCCCUGUGGGGAGCCCCGGCGCCACUGGCAUCCCAGGGCUCCGGAAGGGCGAAGCACAAACACCAUUUUCCUUUGGGGACGACAUGGACAGUUCAGAAAUCAUUGAGGCAUGAAGAAACAUGGGGUGCUCCUCCAGAUCUUGGCACCGUGGACUCUGUUGUCACUCAUCUCCUGGGCCACAAUGACAAUGGCUGUGGUUCACUGCAGAAAACUGCCUCAGAAUAGUCCCAGUGGCCCCUCUGCUGACUCUGGAUCACCCUGAACCAAGCCUUUCCAGGUGCCAGGCUGACUUCUCUUCCAGGAUGGAAGACAUAAUUCCUGCCCUUGCUGGCCAGGGCCAGGGUGGUGGGGGGCAGGGCAGAUGAGAAAGGGCAUUGGAUACUGCAGAGAGGUCUGCACCCUCUCCCAGGGAGCCACUCCCCUUACCUGGUGAGGAGGCACUUGUCCCCAUCCCCCAUCAGGAAAGACUCGAAAAACCAGAAAAUGAGAGUGCCAAGAUGAACCAUCACAUUGUGUUAAUAUUUUCACACCACUUAACUCUCAUUAAAAUGUACUUUGCUGAAUUUAAUGUGAUUUCAAAUGACACAACAUAUUAAGUGCUUAAUAUACUAGAAAUUAUGAAACUAUUAUAGUCGAUGCCAUAUGAAAUAAUUAGAGUGAAUUAAACUUUAGCAGCCGAGUGAAGGCAAGGCUUCAACUUAUGUCUGCAAGUCACUCAAGCCACCGCUGUAAUCCCCCAAGUAAAUGUCCAGAAAUUAGUUUCUUUAAAUAAAAACUGAAUUUCAUGUGUGCUUA